AUUGAACGCUGGCGGCAGGCCUAACACAUGCAAGUCGAACGGUAACAGGAAGAAGCUUGCUUCUUUGCUGACGAGUGGCGGACGGGUGAGUAAUGUCUGGGAAACUGCCUGAUGGAGGGGGAUAACUACUGGAAACGGUAGCUAAUACCGCAUAACGUCGCAAGACCAAAGAGGGGGACCUUCGGGCCUCUUGCCAUCGGAUGUGCCCAGAUGGGAUUAGCUAGUAGGUGGGGUAACGGCUCACCUAGGCGACGAUCCCUAGCUGGUCUGAGAGGAUGACCAGCCACACUGGAACUGAGACACGGUCCAGACUCCUACGGGAGGCAGCAGUGGGGAAUAUUGCACAAUGGGCGCAAGCCUGAUGCAGCCACGCCGCGUGUAUGAAGAAGGCCUUCGGGUUGUAAAGUACUUUCAGCGGGGAGGAAGGGAGUAAAGUUAAUACCUUUACUCAUUGACGUUACCCGCAGAAGAAGCACCGGCUAACUCCGUG
rnacentral:rRNA from 1 species